rnacentral:rRNA from 1 species
AUGUGCAUCUCUCAUAGAGCACGCGGCAGAACCUGGCGCCGCCUCGUUCGCCUCGCCUGCGAGCUUGCAACACCCGUCCCGACUACGUGUUGCAUUUUGCAUUAUGUACACCAUCUCAUGGCAGACUUCACGAAGCUUGCUCCUCUCCGAUACAGACCGUACGCACACGUCGGACUCACACAAACUCCACAUCUCCACAGUACAACACAUAAUGCCCGCACGGACACGCCAGUGACAAGCGAAAGGAGGACACGUGCAUGGGCGCAUGGCGAAGAGCGGCCGGCACGGAGGAGUGGGGUCGCACCGCUGACAUGCAAAGGAUGA